CAGAGGUGGCAAGCGUUGUUCGGAAUUACUGGGCGUAAAGGGCGCGUAGGCGGUCCGAUAAGUCCCGUGUGAAAUCCCUCGGCUCAACUGAGGAAUGGCACGGGAAACUGACGGGCUUGAGUUCGGGAGAGGGAAGCGGAAUUCCGGGUGUAGCGGUGAAAUGCGUAGAUAUCCGGAGGAACACCGGUGGCGAAGGCGGCUUCCUGGACCGACACUGACGCUGAGGCGCGAAAGCUAGGGGAGCAAACGGGAUUAGAUACCCCGGUAGUCCUAGCUGUAAACGAUGAGUGCUGGGUGUAGGGGGUAUCUACCCCCCCUGUGCCGAAGCUAACGCAUUAAGCACUCCGCCUGGGGAGUACGGUCGCAAGGCUG
rnacentral:rRNA from 1 species